UACGGGGGGGGCAAGCGUUGUUCGGAAUUACUGGGCGUAAAGGGCUCGUAGGCGGCCAACUAAGUCAGACGUGAAAUCCCUCGGCUUAACCGGGGAACUGCAUCUGAUACUGGAUGGCUUGAGUUCGGGAGAGGGAUGCGGAAUUCCAGGUGUAGCGGUGAAAUGCGUAGAUAUCUGGAGGAACACCGGUGGCGAAGGCGGCAUCCUGGACCACGACUGACGCUGAGUGAGCGAAAGCCAGGGGAGCAAACGGG
rnacentral:rRNA from 1 species